GCAUAUCAAUAAGCGGAGGAAAAGAAACUAACAAGGAUUCCCCUAGUAACUGCGAGUGAAGCGGGAAAAGCUCAAAUUUAAAAUCUGGCGGUCUUUGGCCGUCCGAGUUGUAGUCUGGAGAAGUGCUUUCCGCGCUGGACCGUGUAUAAGUCUCUUGGAACAGAGCGUCAUAGAGGGUGAGAAUCCCGUCUUUGACACGGACUACCAGUGCUUUGUGAUGCGCUCUCAAAGAGUCGAGUUGUUUGGGAAUGCAGCUCAAAAUGGGUGGUGAAUUCCAUCUAAAGCUAAAUAUUGGCGAGAGACCGAUAGCGAACAAGUACCGUGAGGGAAAGAUGAAAAGCACUUUGGAAAGAGAGUUAAACAGUACGUGAAAUUGCUGAAAGGGAAACGCUUGAAGUCAGUCGCGUUGUCCGGAACUCAGCCUUGCUUUCGCUUGGUGCACUUUCCGGAUGACGGGUCAGCAUCGAUUUUGACCGUCGGAAAAGGGCUGGAGUAAUGUGGCACCUCCGGGUGUGUUAUAGACUCUGGUCGCAUACGACGGCUGGGAUCGAGGAACGCAGCGCGCCGCAAGGCAGGGGUUCGCCCACUUUCGCGCUUAGGAUGCUGGCAUAAUGGCUUUAAACGACCCGUCUUGAAACACGGACCAAGGAGUCUAACAUACCUGCGAGUGUUUGGGUGGAAAACCCGAGCGCGUAAUGAAAGUGAAAGUUGAGAUCCCUGUCGUGGGGAGCAUCGACGCCCGGACCUGACGUUCUCUGACGGAUCCGCGGUAGAGCAUGUAUGUUGGGACCCGAAAGAUGGUGAACUAUGCCUGAAUAGGGUGAAGCCAGAGGAAACUCUGGUGGAGGCUCGUAGCGAUUCUGACGUGCAAAUCGAUCGUCAAAUUUGGGUAUAGGGGCGAAAGACUAAUCGAACC
rnacentral:rRNA from 1 species